GUACGGUCAAGCUACUAAGGGCACAUGGUGGAUGUCUUGGCGUCGAGAGGCGAUGAAGGACGUUGGAACCUGCGAUAAGCCCAGGGGAGCUGGUAACCGAGCUUUGAUCCUGGGAUGUCCGAAUGGGGAAACCCGGCCCGCAAGGGUCAUCCGUAUCUGAAUGCAUAGGGUACGGAGGCGAACCCGGUGAACUGAAACAUCUCAGUAACCGGAGGAAAGGAAAGCAACCGCGACUCCGUUAGUAGCGCCGAGCGAAAGCGGAUUAGCCGGAUUGCAUCGUGAACAGUCUGUGAAAGGCUGACCAAAGAAGGUGAUAGUCCUGUAGCGAUGUUGCCGGUGAGGCCUCGAGUAGGUCCGGGCUCGUGAAACCCGGUCUGAACAUGGGGGGACCACCCUCCAAGCCUAAGUACUCCUCGACGACCGAUAGUGAACCAGUAACGCGAGUGAACGAUGAAAAGCACCCCGACAAGGGGAGUGAAAAGUACCUGAAACCAUGUGCUUACAAGCGGUCGGAGCCCUUCGGGGUGACGGCGUGCCUUUUGCAUAAUGAGCCGACGAGUUACUCUCUGUAGCAAGGCUAAGCCAAAUCCUGGCGGAGCCGAAGGGAAACCGAGUCUUAAAAGGGCGUCGAGUUGCAGGGAGUAGACGCGAAACCCGUUGAUCUACCCAUGGGCAGGUUGAAGAGAGGGUAAAGCCUCUUGGAGGACCGAAGCCGUAAACGUUGAAAAGUUUUGGCAUGACCUGUGGGGAGGAGUUAAAGUCUAAUCAUAACGGGAGAUAUCUCGUUCUCUCCGAAAUAGUUUUUGGACUAGCCUCACGUUAUACCCUGCGGGGGUAGAGCGACUGGAUGGGGCUGGGGGGCCACAAGCCUACCCACCUCAACCAAACUCCGAAUACCGCAGUGCUUAUCGUGGGAGUAAGACUACGGGGGAUAAUCUCCGUGGUCAAAAGGGAAACAGCCCAGACCGCCGGCUAAGGCCCCUAAAUACGUCUCAGUUGAAAAGGUAGUCAGAUUGCUAUGACAGCCAGGAUGUUGGCUUAGAAGCAGCCACCAUUUAAAAAGUGCGUAACAGCUUACUGGUCGAGGAAUUUGGCGCCGAUAAUGAUCGGGGAUAAGACGUAUGCCGAAGCCGCGGACGACACUAGUCGUGGUAGGAGCGUAGCUGUCAGCGCCGAAGCUUGUCCGAAAGGGCAGGUGGAGCGGCAGCUAGUGAAUAUGUCGGCUUGAGUAACGAUAAACGGAGUGAGAAUCUCCGUCGCCGAAAACCUAAGGUUUCCUGGGGAAGGUAAUUCCGCCCAGGGUUAGGCGGUACCUAAGGCGAGGCCGAAAGGCGUAGUCGAUGGACAGCAGGUUAAUAUUCCUGC
rnacentral:rRNA from 1 species